ensembl:lncRNA TRHDE-AS1 TRHDE antisense RNA 1
GGCGUUCGGUCCUCUGGGUGGAAUGUGCUCGCAGCAGCAGUGACGGCGGCCACAGCACGGGAGGCACCCGAGCCAUACACCCUGCAGCUGGAGAGAAAAGGAUGGCCGAGGUGGGAGAGACUAGAGUGAACCAGCAGGAGGAAGUCCCAGGGCCGCGAAGCUACGACGGAGAUCCGUCCUGGAAAAGCCUUCUCCACCCUGGGCACUUUAAGCGGCGGUGGCGGCAAACGGCAGGAGGUUGCAGACCCGACAGCGAGACUCCCUCAUUCCAGUCUUGCUCUGCCCUCCGGAGAUGACAAGUGAGAAAGAAGUGUCCGGCCGGGCCAUCCCCUUCAGCAACCACUUCACAAGAAGAUUCUGAAGUUGGCCAUUUUUGAUCCCAGAACAGUUUCUCAUAGAUUAGAAAUAUUGGAGUCUACACAAAAAUCGAUAUUCAUUUACAAGAUCAUCACUAAACUUAUCUUGCAUAACUUACCAAGAAUAACUGUAAAAUGUGCUGGGAAUGCAAUGUCCUGAGAUAAGGAAGAACUGCCUGAAACAGCCUGGAUCUUAUUCCUGUACUUCCUAGGGAAUGUAACAUCUCAAGUUAAAGAGGAACUGCCCGGAACAGCCCGGGGAUUGUUCCUCUCUCCUGAGAAGGAAGAUUACCUCCAAAGCUCAUCCACUGAGUCACACUGCCCCUGUGGUGGAGGGCGGGCUGCCUUUCCAGGUUCCUCAGCUGUGGUGUAACUGAAGCAGGCACAAUCAAGACUCCAUCUGCUCGAGGCAGCUUUCUCGAACCUUGGGGAACCUACUCACAAUGGAUCACAGGCUUCUUUUGUUUUGUUUCUUGCUGCCUAUCUUGGGAAGCAAAAAUCAGCUGAGUGAAGAUGAGGAAGAAGGUGUUAAAGGUUUGAAGAAAAAAGGAAAAGGAUAUACUAAUCUAAGAGGACAAGUAAGUAGAACAUAGAUAAUGAAAAUGCUGGCCCUUAGGACUGUUGGGCCUAAAUGCUCAUAUUAUAUUGGUAGUCACAAAUUUGAACUUUCUCUAGAGCCAAUUUUUGCAUGUGUGUGCAGGCCUGGAGUAGUUGGAGAGUUGGAUUUAAUAGAAUUGAGGGUCAAGCAACUACAACCAGGGAAGAGUGGGACAAGGGAGAUAAAGGAUAUUGGCAGGGGAGCAAUUAUAAACAUGGACCAUGAUCAAAACUGGACAGGAAGGAAAAUAGAGAUAAGAGGGGUGGAAGGUUAAAAAUAGUGAAAAUGAGAUAGAAUGAAUAGGUUGUAGGUCCCUGUAAAGUUGAAGAAGUAUUAUUAUGCAGUACUCGUUAUUGAAAUGAGGUCACUAUGCUUAAGGCACAGUGAAUCCUAGAAAAUAGUGGUUUUGUUUCUCAUUAGGCAAUACAUUCCUCCUUGCUCCAGAAUGCAACAUACAUGUAUCCUUUUCUGUACUAUUUUUUAUUAAGAAUUCAUACUUAAUUCCACUGACUGCCACUCAAUUUUAAUGUACAGUAGGGAAUUCCUGUACUAUGUAUUAUGAAUCCAUUCCUUUGAAUUUCAUUUAUAAUACUUCAUGACUGACACCUGGCUUUCCACCAAGACUCAAUUUUCAUAGCAAGCCUCAUCAUCAUAAGCCCCCAAAUUAACAGGAUGAGGAGGAAGAAUUGGCAGGCUAAAGAAGAUGAUUAUAUCAAUUAAUGCAGAAAAAGCAUUUGAUAAAAUCCAAUAUUCAUUUGUAAUUAAAAACUCUCAGCAAGUUAGGGAUAGGAAUUACUUCAACUUAAUGAAGAGUGUCUUUAAAAACCUUAUUUUCAUCAGUUAUAACAAAUGUACCACUCUGGUGGUGAAUGUUGCUAAGGAGGGAAGCUAUACAUGUGUGGGGAAAGGAGAUGUGUGAGCAAUUUCUGUACCUUCUACUCAAUCUUCUGUG